AGAGUUUGAUCAUGGCUCAGGACGAACGCUGGCGGCGUGCCUAAUACAUGCAAGUCGAGCGAGCGGAACCAACAGAUUUACUUCGGUAAUGACGUUGGGAAAGCGAGCGGCGGAUGGGUGAGUAACACGUGGGGAACCUGCCCCUAAGUCUGGGAUACCAUUUGGAAACAGGUGCUAAUACCGGAUAAUAAAGCAGAUCGCAUGAUCAGCUUUUGAAAGGCGGCGUAAGCUGUCGCUAAGGGAUGGCCCCGCGGUGCAUUAGCUAGUUGGUAAGGUAACGGCUUACCAAGGCGACGAUGCAUAGCCGAGUUGAGAGACUGAUCGGCCACAUUGGGACUGAGACACGGCCCAAACUCCUACGGGAGGCAGCAGUAGGGAAUCUUCCACAAUGGACGCAAGUCUGAUGGAGCAACGCCGCGUGAGUGAAGAAGGUUUUCGGAUCGUAAAGCUCUGUUGUUGGUGAAGAAGGAUAGAGGUAGUAACUGGCCUUUAUUUGACGGUAAUCAACCAGAAAGUCACGGCUAACUACGUGCCAGCAGCCGCGGUAAUACGUAGGUGGCAAGCGUUGUCCGGAUUUAUUGGGCGUAAAGCGAGCGCAGGCGGAAAAAUAAGUCUAAUGUGAAAGCCCUCGGCUUAACCGAGGAACUGCAUCGGAAACUGUUUUUCUUGAGUGCAGAAGAGGAGAGUGGAACUCCAUGUGUAGCGGUGGAAUGCGUAGAUAUAUGGAAGAACACCAGUGGCGAAGGCGGCUCUCUGGUCUGCAACUGACGCUGAGGCUCGAAAGCAUGGGUAGCGAACAGGAUUAGAUACCCUGGUGGUCCAUGCCGUAAACGAUGAGUGCUAAGUGUUGGGAGGUUUCCGCCUCUCAGUGCUGCAGCUAACGCAUUAAGCACUCCGCCUGGGGAGUACGACCGCAAGGUUGAAACUCAAAUGAAUUGACGG
rnacentral:rRNA from 1 species